CCCGCUGAACUUAAGCAUAUCAAUAAGCNGAGGAAAAGAAACUAACAAGGAUUCCCCUAGUAACUGCGAGUGAAGCGGGAAAAGCUCAAAUUUGAAAUCUGGCAGUCUUUGAUUGUCCGAGUUGUAAUCUAGAGAAGUGUUACCCGCGUUGGACCGUGUACAAGUCUCCUGGAAUGGAGCGUCAUAGAGGGUGAGAAUCCCGUCUUUGACACGGACUACCAAGGCUUUGUGGUGCGCUCUCAAAGAGUCGAGUUGUUUGGGAAUGCAGCUCAAAAUGGGUGGUAAAUGCCAUCUAAAGCUAAAUACAGGCGAGAGACCGAUAGCGAACAAGUACCGUGAGGGAAAGAUGAAAAGAACUUUGGAAAGAGAGUUAAACAGUACGUGAAAUUGCUGAAAGGGAAACGCUUGAAGUCAGUCGCGUUGGCUUGAAAUCAACCUUACUUUUGUUGGGUGUAUUUUCUUGACAAUGGGUCAACAUCAGUUUUGACCAGUGGAAAAAGACAUGGGAAAUGUGGCUCCUUCGGGAGUGUUAUAGUCUUAUGUUGUAUACAUUGGUUGGGACUGAGGAACUCAGCAUGCCUUACGGAAGGGUUCGCCCAUACACAUGCUUAGGAUGUUGGCAAAAUGGCUUUAAGCGACCCGUCUUGAAACACGGACCAAGGAGUCUAACAUGCCUGCGAGUGUUUGGGUGG
rnacentral:rRNA from 1 species